UACGUAGGGUGCAAGCGUUGUCCGGAAUUAUUGGGCGUAAAGAGCUCGUAGGCGGUUUGUCGCGUCGAAUGUGAAAACCCGGGGCUCAACCCCGGGCCUGCAGCCGAUACGAGCAGACUAGAGUUCGGCAGGGGAGACUGGAAUUCCUGGUGUAGCGGUGAAAUGCGCAGAUAUCAGGAGGAACACCGGUGGCGAAGGCGGGUCUCUGGGACGGUACUGACGCUGAGACGCGAAAGCGUGGGGAGCGAACAGG
rnacentral:rRNA from 1 species